AUGUAUUUCCUCGUGAAGUUUAAAGAGGGAGAAACUGAGGUCGUGAACGCUACAACCCAUGUGAAAGACUUCAAGAAAUCCACUAAGUACCGAGCAGGGGAUACAAUCCGCGUCUUCUGGUCACCUAAGGAAAGCUAUACUCCCAACGAUGUCCGGAAAAAGCAAGGACACAUUUUGAAUAUUGACCAGACUGUCUUAUCAAUUGCCUCUGUCAAGAAGUCGAAAGCAGGGAGCAGCGACUCAGAUAUAGAUGAGCAGGACCUUGACUCGAAAACAGGCUACUACGAAGCAGAGCUGCUGCAGAUGGAAGAUACUAAAGACAAAUUGUUGGAGCAAAUGGAAAAGAAGAGAGUUAGGCAACAGUCGGCGAAGCUAAAGGAGGCAAGUGAAAGUGGUAGGAUAUUGAAAUCCAAGCAGUCUAAAUCAUCUAAGAAAACCAGCAAUGAAGCCGAACCUAAGAAAGCUGAAUUGAAGAGGCUAAGGGAAUCCUCCUCGCAUGCCAAUAUUGAUAAUCUCCUCGGCCACUGCAGCCAAAGCAAAAAGAAAAAAAUCCCAGCAUUGUCUCCCUCAUCGUCCUCGGAUAGUGGGGAUGAUGUCAUCCUGAAAGAUGAUCUGAAGCAAGUAGAGAAAGAGAGGGAUAAGUGGAAGAAAAGUUGGACCGACGAGAAGACAAAAAACAUUGCUUUAUCAUCUAAGAUAGAGCUCCUUGAAGGGCAACUAAGAACAGCGACAGAAGAAAACGUCAAAUUGAAAGUUGACCUCGCCCUUGCAACGAGGAAUCAAAGCACAGUCAUGUCCCCUUUUAAAGUCGUUUCAUCUCCCCUGCGCCAGUCUCCUCGACUGAAAGCCCAGGCUGAAAGGAAGGCAACUACCCCGACAUCCUCAUCAGUCCAUGUGAAGAAAAUAGACUUUGGAAUCGAAGAUGAUGUCCCUGAAGCAGCUGUCGAUGAACAGAAGAUAGAGACGGAAGUCGAUGAACAGAAGAUAGAGACGGAAGUCGAUAUUGAUGUAGCUACAACCUCCGCUGAGACAGAAAUCCCUCUUUCGAAGCAAAGUGCAGUUGAUAAGGAAUUCACAAUAACUCCGGAGCAAUACGCUUCAAUAAAGAACGGAGUCACCAAAGGAUCCGCUGGAGACUCGCUUUUUGUGAAAAACUUGGCCGUGGCUGUUUUCACUUCAGACGUCCUCAUGGUGUCUUCCGUGACGGGCAGUGAGUGCCUUGCCAAAAAGAACCAGGAGGACAAAGAGCCGCCAAAAGAUAAACUGCCGGAAAAAGGCCUACAGUUAGUGAAAGAAUUGUUCGAAAAGCGUGCCGUGGAAGAAGGCUAUGACGUUGAGUCUUCUGAUUAUAAAUCUCGGGCCAGCAAGGUCAAUUCCUACGUAGGAAGAAAAAUUUCAACUCUUUGCAGGAGCAGCAAGAAGAAGAAGACAUAAGCACCACCAAUGCGUGAUAUUUUCAUUUUCAUUUUCAUUUUUAUUUUUCCUUUUCAUUUUUUUAUUCUAUAAGACUGAGUAUUCUGACUGAGAUAAGACUGAGUAAUAUUAUAAAGUAGUUGAGUUUUUCAAAAAUAUAUCAUUCAGAUAACUUUCGUUACCGUAACCUAAAUUUCUGUUAUUGAUACGAUAUUUUCUUAAGUUUGUUCGUUUAAGAGUUUUGUUUCCUGUUUUUUUUAAUCAUUAAAGUAAUUCUUGAUCUCAGAAGCUGAUGCUCAUCAUUUCGUUAUCAUGCCCUCUUAUACUAAUUUCCUCCAAUUUUUACAGGUAGAAUGUCAGAGCUAUUAUGAUUGUACACAUGUGGGUACCUAGAGAUUUGUGGUAUGGAACACAACUCACUUGAAUUCAAAGUUAAUGGUUGCCGCCCACGUAUGUAAAUAAUAUUUUCCUGUAGUUCCUCUUGCUGUCAGUGAGAAUGAUCCCUACAUUAA
rnacentral:lncRNA from 1 species